rnacentral:misc_RNA from 1 species
GAUGAAGAACGUAGCGAAAUGCGAUAAUUAAUGUGAAUUGCAGAAUUCCGUGAAUCAUCGAGUCUUUGAACGCACAUUGCGCCCCCUGGCAUUCCGGGGGGCAUGCCUGUCCGAGCGUCAUUUCUGCCCUCCAGCCCGGCUGGGUGUUGGGCGCUGUCCCCCCGGGGACACGCCCCAAAGGCAGUGGCGGCGCCGCGUCGGGUCCUCGAGCGUAUGGGGCUUUGUCACCCGCUCGGGACGGACUCGUCGGCGCUGGUCUUCCUCCAGGCGACCCUUCGGGGCUCGUCUUCCUUCGGUUGACCUCGGAUCAGGUAGGGUUACCCGCUGAACUUAAGCAUAUCAAUAAGCGGAGGA